UCAGUACACUGUUUGUCUUAAUGACAAAUAUUUGUCAAGUCAGCCUGAUAUCCAUGUCGAUUUCUGGUCAGUCUGAUAGAUAUCCGGAUAAACUUGACAAAUAUUUGUCAUCAUGGCAAACAGUGUACUGAGGGCUUAAUUCGAUAGAUUAAACGUUUGAGCAAAAAAUAAAAUAAAUUCAGAUAAUAAAACUUACAUGAAGACUAUGUUUUUUUCAACCGCUGCCUAUAAUCGACGUAUUUUUUAUUCUCAAACACGUGUCUUUGCAGCAUUCUGACGUUUGACAAAUGCACUUCUCCGAAACUCGGUAAAGUUGAUGAUUUACCGAUUAAGAUCGCAAAACAUGUUGCCGAAUUUCAGUACUAAAUUUUAUUAACAGGUUUUCGGUUAUUACAUUUCAAAUAUUUCGGCGAAUCAAUAUUUUUUGACGACAUUCCGGUUAAAAAACAUUUUACGGAACAUGUUCGUUAAAUAAUUUCACCGAAAAAAAAUCUGGCGAUUAAGUGUGAAGGAGAAUUUCCUUGUUACGUAUCCCGGACACUUAAAGCUAUGUACCGGAACAAGUACAAGAGGACACGGGGCCAGCGGCAUAUUCCGGAAACGCGUUCCGAUGGAGCGUAAAGACCCAAUCAACAUUCGCCAUACCCAUUGUUUCAACAGCUGCGAAAACAGACACCAUCAAGAAUACCACCUACAUUGCAUUUUCUGACUGACACCUUCUGCGUUCCAGUUGUACUAGCUACGGACGAAUCUUUUUGAAUCGACUGGAGGAACACUGAUACAAGGAGAACCAAUUCUUUGCUUUUCUUCAGACUGCUUGUUGGUACCGCAGCCACUCAAGCUCUUCUCAGUUGGCCCCGGAACUGCAAAUACAGUA